UACGUAGGGGGCGAGCGUUGUCCGGAUUUACUGGGCGUAAAACGCUUGUAGGUGGCCACGCCAAGUCGGACGUGAAAUCUCCCGGCUUAACUGGGAGGGGUCGUUCGAUACUGGCGGGCUCGAGGCAGGUAGGGGGAAGCGGAAUUCCAGGUGUAGCGGUGAAAUGCGUAGAUAUCUGGAGGAACACCGGUGGCGAAGGCGGCAUCCUGGACCAACACUGACACUGAGGAGCGAAAGCCAGGGGAGCAAACGGG
rnacentral:rRNA from 1 species